rnacentral:rRNA from 1 species
UACGUAGGGUGCGAGCGUUAAUCGGAAUUACUGGGCGUAAAGCGUGCGCAGGCGGUUCGUCGUGUCCGAUGUGAAAGCCCCGGGCUCAACCUGGGAAUGGCAUUGGAAACUGGCGGGCUUGAGUGUGGCAGAGGGGGGUGGAAUUCCAGGUGUAGCGGUGAAAUGCGUAGAUAUCUGGAGGAACACCGGUGGCGAAGGCGGCAUUCUGGACCGAAACUGACGCUGAUGCGCGAAAGCCAGGGGAGCAAACGGG